rnacentral:rRNA from 1 species
AAUCAACGCUGGCGGCGUGCCUCAGACAUGCAAGUCGAACGCGAAAGUUCCCUUCGGGGGAUGAUUAGAGUGGCGUCCGGGUGAGUAACACGUGGGUAAUCUACCUUCGGGUGGGGAAGUAACAGUCGGAAACGACUGCUAAUACCGCAUAAUGCAGCGGCACCUAAUGGUGACAGUUGUUAAAGCGGGGGAUCGCAAGACCUCGCGCCUGAAGAGGAGCCCCGCGGCGGAUUAGCUAGNGGUAGGGUAACGGCCUACCAAGGCAACGAUCCGUAGCCGGCCCUGAGAGGGCGGUCGGCCACACUGGCACUGACAUACGGGCCAGACUCCUACGGGAGCAGCAGUCGGGAAUUUUGGGCAAUGGGCGAAAGCCUGACCC